AGCAGAUGGGGAGCUUAAGAAGGAAGCUAGUUCAUGGCACAGCACCCGUAAAGUCCCCAGAAUUGGAGGCACCAGAUUCUUCUGAAAGAAAAGGAGCAAUUCAGCACUUGUCAUGGAGAUAAGAGGUCAACACCCCAGGACGGAGUGAAAACCUAAGAUGGACUCAACGACUCUUACCGUCCAGCUCUCAAGUCCCUUCUCUUGUGAAAAUGGAAAAGUUGAACUACAGUUGAGAUAUUAUUCCC